rnacentral:lncRNA from 1 species
AUGAAUGGAAACACACAUAUGCUAAAUAACUUGCCUUCUGAAACUCUGUCCAUUGCCAGAUCCACUAGACCAUACAAUGGGGAGGGUGCUUCCAGGCAGAGAGGAGGAGAAAGGCACAAUCCAAGUUUCCAUGGACAAAAGCACAGGUCCAGCACCAUCUUCAGUGUUACAGGAGUGAAAACAGCAUUGAGCCUUCUUUUUCUACCUCCUGCUACCCAGCACAUGGGCCUCAUCUCCUCUUCCCGGAGCUGCCUCCCAGCCGUCUCCCCUCUUACUUUCCCUUCAUUCAAUCUAGUCUGCACAUCCAGAGGACCAGGAUAAAGCUCUGCACCAAGAUGAGGACUGGCCACUCCCUCCGCCUGGGCCUUGAGGAACGUAGCUGCGCUUGAAUGCCAGAUGUGGAGGCUCUACUGCCCUCUGGCAGCCCAGGCUUGGUAGUGGACACUCUGGAAACAGCAGCAGGGUUAGCGCUCAGAGUGCUAAACGCUUUGAAGAGAAGUGAAGCAGGUGACAUGACACAGAGCAACUGAGAAGUGUGCGUGGUGUGGGGUGCAAUUUCAGAGAGGGUGGCCAUGUGCCUCUGAGGAGGUGACAUUUGUGCAAAGAACCUGAGCCAUUGGGGAAAGAGGGUUCCAGGCAAAGAGAAUAGCAAGAGCAAAGGCCCUAAGGCAGUGCGUGCUUGUCUGAGGUUUUUGUUUGUUGCGCCCACAACGUGUGGAAGUUCCUGGGCCAGGGAUUAAACCCAAGCCACAGCGGUGACCUAAGUCCCUACUGCUAGGCCACCAGGAACCUCUUUGCUUGAGUUUUUUAAAAUUUGUUCUCAUCGUAGUAAAAUAAUCACAACGUAAAAUUUAUCAUUUAAACUAUUUUUAAGUGUAUAAAUUGAUGUCAUUAAAUACAUUCACAUUGUUGUGCAACCAUUACCACCAUCCACCAUUCCCGGGACUUUUUCAUCUUUCCCCAGCAAAACCUUUGUGUCUACAAAACAGUAGCUCAUUCUCCAUAACCCCUGGUAACCACUAUUGUACUCUCUGUCUCUAUGAAUUUAAGUACUCUAGGCACCUCAUACAAGUGGGAUCAUACAGUAUUUGUCCUUUUAUGUCUGGCUUAUUUCACUCAGAAUAAUGGUUUCAAAGUUUGUCCAUGUUGUAGCAUGCGCCAGAAUCUCCUUCCUUUUAAAGGCUGAAUAACAUUCCAAUACAUGGAUAUACCACAUUUUGUUUACCAUUCGCCUGUCGAUGAACACCUGGGUUACUUCUGCCUUUUGGCUCUUGCGAUUAAUGCUGCUAUGAACAUGGAUUUACAAACAUGUUUUGAGUCCCUGCUUUCAGUUCUUUUGGGUAUAUACCCAGAGUGGAAUUGCUGGACCCUAUGGUAAUUCUGCUUAACUUCCUGAGGAACCACCCUACUGUUUUCUCCAGCAGCCGUACCCUUUACAUUCCUAUUAGCAAUGUAUGAGCGUUCCAGUUUCUCUACACCCUCAACAUUUGUUGUUUUCUGCUGUUUGAUUUUAAGGAACAUUGAGAAGGCCAGUAUGGCUGGAUCAGAGUCAGCAAGAAAGAUAGGAGCAGGAAGAGGGCCAGAGAGGUCUAACCAUGAAGGGCCUGUAGACACGGAAAGGACAGGCUAUCAAUGAGUGAGACUGGGAGCUUUUUGAGAGCAUUGAGCUAUGGAGGGUCAUAAUCCCAUUUAUAAUAAGGAAGUUAAAACUUAAUGCUUCCAGCUCCAGAAGCAUGGGGCCUCCAAGGCCAGCACAAUCCUCUUUUCUCCCAAGCUGCCAAAGGGUUAAGUAAAUGUAAACACGGGUAAAUGCAGUGAAAGGAGAUAUUUCCUUCCCCUGGUUGACACACCUGAUGCAGGAAGCAGACUCCUGCUCCCUGGGAAUGAGAGGCCUGGCCAGACUUGUGCUUCAAGAAGAAAAUGAACGUCGCCUGGACACAAGAUGGCUUAGCACUUCCCAUGUCAGUUUCUAAGAGCUACUGAACAGCCUAAGGCCCCAUCUGUUUUCAAUCUUGUUAAAAGGGCCUCGUGUGCUGGCGCCUAUUUAAAAUAAUGCACACAUGGAGUUUCUAAAAUGAAGAAGAAAAAAGGCUCAUGCUUUCCCUGCCGGCACAGCUUAUGUGUUUAUUUUGGAGCAGGCUUUGGGAGUUCUGAGACAAGACAUAGCUAAUUUCUCUUCCCGGGGUUGAUUUGCAAGUCCCCAUAGGCUUUUGUUCCAAGCAUUUAAGGCAGCUUGGUAUGAACUGGUCACCCCUUCAAAAGUCCACUGUAAAAUAUCUCCAGAUUAAGGCUGGGCUCAGGAAAGGGGAGCCCAAGGCGGCUUUCUUCCUUGCAGAAGGGAUGUUUCCUCAAUUCCUUUUCCUCAGUAGAGACUUACAUUUUGAAAGGCUGAGUUGCCCUUCUCAUAUGCUCAUUUUCUUCCCAAGAGGCCACAGUAGCUCCAAGACAGCAUGACCAAGAUAGAGUCAAGAGCCAGUGUGAACCUAAUCCCCAAAUGAGGAUGGCAAGGGGCAGUCAGGGAAGAGCCCCCUGCAGUCAAUAAACUCCCAUGUCAAGAAGCA